GCCUUUGAACAUUGCUUUUAUUAGUCUUGCCAUCUUUAUGGCUGUUACAAAAGGCAUCCUCGCUGCUUUUCGAAAAAGACCAUUUGAUGGGGCAACAAAGAUGGGGGAUUAUUUUUUUGUAGUCUUUUGGUUAUUCACUGCAAAAAUAACAUGCUUCAUCUUUCUCUCACUCCUGCGGCAACAAUCCUGUGAUUACAGAAAGAAUUACCCAUAAUUGUCAAAAGCCUGGAAACUUUAACUAAUGGACUCCAGUCAAGCAGUACUCAUUCAGUCUCUCCACCUGUCAACACUGAUUUACCAAAACACCUGUCCCCUUUAUGCCUUAAAAGUUCUUGCGAUACAGCUACGAUUUAGGAAAAUGAUAAUACUGGCGACGGAGUGGAAAAGAUGGUAGCACUGGCUCCUGGUAUUAAGAUUUUGCCUUCGCAGAGGGAUCUUUUGACUUUACAAGGAAAUCCAAAAAACUACACGUAUGCGUUAAUGGACAUGAUUUGGUCCAGAGAUGUGUUGGCAACACAUUCCCUAACAGGAAAAACGUCCAAUGCUCACAAAGAUAAAACACCAAAGCCUUCAUUGGAUGCUUCAAAAGUUGCUGCACUGUGUGAUGUAGUUGUAAAAAGAUUUCGCUUACCUGACAAUAAAAUGGUGAAAGGAUUCAUAAAGGCAAAGCUAAACAACAGCGAAAGAUGUAAAAGAUUCAAAAUAAGUGACAACGUACAAGAUAACUGAUUCUUUUUUAUAAUUUUAUUUUUGAUAGUUAAUUUUCAUGUUUUUUUCUACUUAUACAUGCAUAAAUGUUAUUUGUAUUAUUGGUAAUUUUUGCAAUUUUUUAACGUAUGCAAGUUUUAAAAUUUUUAAGUUCUAUUAAAUUAUUUGAGUUUUCUGUAUUAUAUUUAA